ensembl:misc_RNA
UUCAUUUUAUCCUUCAAUGUUAAAGUAACUGCAAGCAAUUGUUGAAAGAAAAUAAAAGGUAUGGCUCAGACUUUAGUCUGCAGUAACUUAAAGAAAAGGACCCAGA